rnacentral:rRNA from 1 species
GGUAUUCUGACUGUGCUAAGGUAGCACAAUAAUUUGCUUCUUAAUUGGUAGCUGGAAUGAACGGUUGAGCUAACUUAACAAGUCUGUGUACUUAACUAGAAAAUUAAAGUCGAGGUAAGAAUUCUUUGAUUUUUUUAGGGGACGAUAAGACCCUAUAAGCUUGAUAAACUUUAAGGUGUUAUUGUUUUUCAAGUUAGUUUGUUUUACUGGGGCGGUACUAGUAUCUAAACUAUUAGUUAGAUUUAGAUCCUUAAAAUAUAGACGAAACGGAGAAGUUACUUUAGGGGUAACAGUGCAAUAUUUUUGGAGAGAUCUUAUCGAUAGAUAUGUUUGCAACCUCGAUGUUGAAUUAAAAUUUCUACGUGAAGCAGAAGGUACAGUAGAGGGUUUGUUCAACCUUUAAAUUUUUACAUGAUCUGAGUUCAAACCGG